rnacentral:lncRNA from 1 species
AUUCUACUGGUUACGAGUGAGUCCUUGAUCCACUGAGAUCCAAGAGGAUGAGACAAAGUCCCCAUAUCUCAAUGAAAGAUCGUCAAGGUCACACUGAAGAAGACCAUGUGGGAUGGGAGAGAGACAUAGUGGUCACAUUUGAGAAAGGCCAUCUGACAGAUGGGAGAAGCUGAAAGGGCUGCAGACAGCAGAAGCCUCCCCUGCACCUGCAAAUAGACCAGUGCAGGCAUUGAACAUCUGGGGCAAGACUAGCGUCUCCCAGCAGAACGUAUGACCUGAAACUGGUCCCGAGGAAACAUCAGAUGGACCACGUUGAGCAUCACACUGCAGAAUGUAGGGCUGCAUUCUUCCAAACUGUUGGGACGAUGAAAGUCAGGGAAAGACUGAGGAAAUGCUCCAAACUGGGGCAGACUGCAAAGAUGUGACAAUUAAAUGCAAUGUGUAACUCGGGGUUUCUGCACUUUAGCUCUUUCAAGAUUUUUGACUGGAUAAUUCUUGGGGUCUGUCUUGCACACUGCACGGUGUCUGGCAUCAUCUCUGGUGUCUAAGCCCUAGAUGUCAAUACCAAUUCCCACUUGUGUGAUCAAAUGUCUCCAGACAU